UGAACCCAGCUGUGAGGCUCUGUCACCUUCUCCAGCCACGCCUCCCUAAGGAGCCCUGCUCUUCUGUGCACAUCAGCGAACACCAGCACCACGGCUGGUCCCUCAGGGCAGGGCAUGGAGGCCUCGCCUGCCUCUCCUCACAGGUCUUGGCUCACUGGUAGUAAUGUAAGGAGCCACAAAGAACAGGGUGACCAAGUCAUCCUCGUGGCCUGGGACUUCUCUGGUUUCAGCGCUGGAAGUGCCUCAUACCAAGAAUGCACUCGGUCCCUGCCAACUGGAAAUGGUUGGUUACUUUACUAAGGGACAGAGUUGACCAGAGUAGGGUCUGGGCUCAAGCAGAUGGGGAAUUCAGGGAGCAUUCAGAAUUGAGGCCUCCCUCAGACUCCUCCACCGUCCAGGUGAGAGGGCACAGGUGGGAGUUUACCUGAUUACCACACGGGGCCAAGGCAGGGCUGACAGACCCAGCCAGGUCUGCACGCUUCUCUGAGUAUCCCAGCUUGAAACAGUGAAAGGAGCAGAUCUUCCACAAGAAUGAACAAGAGAUGCUCUCAUUUAAAAGAAAAGAAACAGAAAAGGUUAUCAGCUAGUAGAGAGGAAAUUCUGCUCUUAACAUAAUGUAGCUUAAAAGAAAAUGCUGCAUUUUGUCAAAGAGUCAGCGAUGAGCCUCUUAUCACAUAUUUGCUCAUAAAGGCAGAAAGGAAGAAUGCUAGCAUGCCAGUGUCCCAUCGUUAACGGGUGGAGGAGAAGAGCAGGCGGAGGAGGAGAACGAUUUCUAUGGGAUUCUCAAAGUAAAUGGGCAAUUUUCAUGCACAUGGAGAAUCUACUUCUGCAGACUGAGUUCAGGCCAGACCUGCUCUGUCAAAGCCCGACAGAGAGACCCGAGAUGGUGAGGGCGGGAGAGGGACAGCGGAGGACCGUGCUAUGGCUUGAGUGUGUUUCCCAAAGUUCCUUGUGUUGGAAACGUAAUCCCUCAUGCAACAGUGUGGAGAUGUGUGAUCUUUCAGUGAUUAAUGGAUGAAUGUGAAAUGAAUUCAUGUCAUUAUGGUGGGAGUGGGUCUACUAUAAAAACAAAGUAAGCCCCUUCUUACCCUCUCUCACGCACUCUCUCACCAUGUGAUGCCCUAUGCCACAUUAUGACACAGCAAAAAGGCCCUCACCUAGUGCAGCCCCUCAGUCUUGGACUCCCCAGCCUCCAGAACCAUGAACCGAAUAAACCUCUAUUGUGGAUAAAUUACUCAGCCUACAAUGUUCUGUUUCAGCCACAGAAAAUGGCUGAAACAUUUGGGAUUCUGGAAGGGACAGGCAGAGCGAAUGAGAGCUGUGGAAAUGAUAACCCCUCCAUGGGUCCAGACUUCACUGUCUAAAAGGUCACUCUAGACCC
rnacentral:lncRNA from 1 species